GGGACUGUCUGUUACAAUGUGUUUAUGCGGUGCCUGGCCCAACAGGGCCUUGAUCUCCAGGUCUGUAGGCAGUAAUACAAAUAAUAAAAACGGGAUAGGGCUAUUGCGAUGGUUGGCAUGGGGGAGCUGCAUCCUUUGAGACGCAUUAAUAUAAGGCUGUACAAGGAACUAGAAUAGAUGCUGUAGUGAAGGGGAGAUGGGGGAGUGAGACGGGAUGGAACAAGUCCUUUCCCUCUCUAAUUUCCAUGGUUUUGUAGCUGGUCCCGGUCCACAUGGCAGGUACACAUUAGCCCCCACACAUGCUAAUGUCUAGUACUUAAAGCUCUGGCACCUCUGCUUGGCUAGUUAAUGGAUGCUGUUCACAUUCUCUGAGACACUCUGUCCUGGCUCCUGAGCUAAUCGCUUAGCCAAGUUGCAACUGUUUCACUUCCAUUGGUAACCCUUUUUCCCCCCCUCUCCCCCCACACCUUCCCUCCACAGGAUGUGGCGAACUUGCUUAUUCCAGUGUCUCUUUGAUGUGCGGCGCUUCCUCUGUGUCCUGACUCAGGGGACCUGAGCAGGGGAACAUUGGACUGCGUGGACAGCAGAACUUACUGGAUCUGCUUCAGCUCCCUGACACAGAACAGGAGUGAACAUGGCGAGGGAGGAAGAGAGGCAGGACGGUUAGGGCUUUAGCCUAGGAGUUGGGAAACCUGGUUCCAAUCGCCUGCUCCACUACAGGCUUCCUGUGUGACUUUCGGGGGUUCUCGGGGGAGAAAAAUUCCCUAAUGGCGGACAGAGCUGUCCCU